UGAUUAAGAGGAUGAUAAGCUAUUUUAGGGC
rnacentral:piRNA from 1 species